rnacentral:rRNA from 4 species
AGCAUGUGCGCGAGUCAUUGGGAUAAACCUAAAGGCGAAAUGAAAGUGAAGGUCCGCCUCGGACCGAGGGAGGAUGGGCCCGCCCAAGGGCCCCGCACUCCCGGGGCGUCUCGUUCUCAUCGCGAGAGGAGGCGCACCCAGAGCGUACACGCUGGGACCCGAAAGAUGGUGAACUAUGCCUGGUCAGGACGAAGUCAGGGGAAACCCUGAUGGAGGUCCGUAGCGAUUCUGACGUGCAAAUCGAUCGUCGGAACUGGGUAUAGGGGCGAAAGACUAAUCGAACCAUCUAGUAGCUGGUUCCCUCCGAAGUUUCCCUCAGGAUAGCUGGCGCUCGCCGCGCGCGAGUCUCAUCCGGUAAAGCGAAUGAUUAGAGGCAUUGGGGUCGAAACGGCCUCAACCUAUUCUCAAACUUUAAAUGGGUGAGAUCUCCGGCUUGCUCGAACCGUGAAGCCGCGAGAUUUCGGAUCAGAGUGCCAAGUGGGCCACUUUUG